rnacentral:rRNA from 1 species
UACGAAGGGGGCUAGCGUUGCUCGGAAUCACUGGCCGUAAAGGGUGCGUAGGCGGGUCUUUAAGUCAGGGGUGAAAUCCUGGAGCUCAACUCCAGAACUGCCUUUGAUACUGAGGAUCUUGAGUUCGGGAGAGGUGAGUGGAACUGCGAGUGUAGAGGUGAAAUUCGUAGAUAUUCGCAAGAACACCAGUGGCGAAGGCGGCUCACUGGCCCGAUACUGACGCUGAGGCACGAAAGCGUGGGGAGCGAACAGG